CAACAACAACUUGGCUGUAACACUUGAGAAGUUUAUUGAUUUCACAGUCACUAAUGAACAAUGAGUGAAGACCUGUAUGAGUAUGAUUCUGAAGGAACUGAUGGCAGUGAUGCAGUUAUAGAGAUUUCAGAUUCGGACGAAACUUUGCCGCCAUCUUACAAAGAAACACUGCCACCUCUGGAGGAAUGUGGUCAGGAAGUUGAAUGGUCCCAGUCACCUUAGGAUAUUUUGUAAGUCAUUGUGAAGGUAAACAUGUUAAAAAGUGUCAAGUGGUUUUUAACAGUACUACAUUUUUAUGCCCCCAAAGGUGGGCAUCUAGUGAUUGCAUUUCCGUCUGUAUGUCCGUCUGUCCGUCAUACUUUUUCAAAUGUCUGUGCUUUGAGGUUAUAUUUUUCUUUUUACAUAGAAUGUCAAUGGAGAAGGAGUAGCAGAUUGCAGAUUGUAAGCCAUCAUCCAAGUUAUAAGACUACAUCAAUGUUCACUUCAUUUUCAUCAACACACAGCAAUAACAUCAGUAUUGUGGUCUCAUUGGAGCAAUUAAGCACU